UAGCCCAAGAAAUUGGAUAAUCCUUCUAAGUAUUUGAAAGGCAUCAUUUAAAAUUAAAUCCAAACGGUAAAAGUGAGCAUGUUCCCAUUAGCUAGUGGUAAGGAACGGCUUACCAAGGCUACGAUGGGUAGGGUCCUGAGAGGGAGUCCCCCACACUGGUACUGAGACACGGACCAGAUUCCUACGGGAGGCAGCAGUGAGGAAUAUUGGACAAUGGGCGCAAGCCUGAUCCAGCCAUGCCGCGUGCAGGAUGACGGUCCUAUGGAUUGUAAACUGCUUUUAUACGAGAAGAAACACUGCUUCGUGAAGCAGCUUGACGGUAUCGUAAGAAUAAGGAUCGGCUAACUCCGUGCCAGCAGCCGCGGUAAUACGGAGGAUCCAAGCGUUAUCCGGAAUCAUUGGGUUUAAAGGGUCCGUAGGCGGUUUAAUAAGUCAGUGGUGAAAGCCCAUCGCUCAACGGUGGAACGGCCAUUGAUACUGUUAAACUUGAAUUAUUAGGAAGUAACUAGAAUAUGUAGUGUAGCGGUGAAAUGCUUAGAGAUUACAUGGAAUACCAAUUGCGAAGGCAGGUUACUACUAAUGGAUUGACGCUGAUGGACGAAAGCGUGGGUAGCGAACAGGAUUAGAUACCCUGGUAGUCCACGCCGUAAACGAUGGAUACUAGCUGUUGGAAGCAAUUUCAGUGGCUAAGCGAAAGUGAUAAGUAUCCCACCUGGGGAGUACGUUCGCAAGAAUGAAACUCAAAGGAAUUGACGGGGGCCCGCACAAGCGGUGGAGCAUGUGGUUUAAUUCGAUGAUACGCGAGGAACCUUACCAAGGCUUAAAUGUAGUUUGACCGAUUUGGAAACAGAUCUUUCGCAAGACAAAUUACAAGGUGCUGCAUGGUUGUCGUCAGCUCGUGCCGUGAGGUGUCAGGUUAAGUCCUAUAACGAGCGCAACCCCUGUUGUUAGUUGCCAGCGAGUCAUGUCGGGAACUCUAACAAGACUGCCAGUGCAAACUGUGAGGAAGGUGGGGAUGACGUCAAAUCAUCACGGCCCUUACGCCUUGGGCUACACACGUGCUACAAUGGCCGGUACAGAGAGCAGCCACUGGGCGACCAGGAGCGAAUCUAUAAAACCGGUCACAGUUCGGAUCGGAGUCUGCAACUCG
rnacentral:rRNA from 1 species